rnacentral:tRNA from 1 species
UGGGGCAUAGUUCAAUUCAGGUGACGUUUGACACCUACGGCCACUUGUUCCCGGCCACCGAUGAAGCCCAGGUUUUGGCCGAUGCAGAGAGCCGCCUUUUGUCGGUCAAUGCGACAUAGAUGCGACAUGGUGGCAAUUCUCUCAAUGAAUUCAGUAUCAGAACAAACACUCUGACUCCGUUAGUCCUGGUUCGAAUCCAGGUUCCCCAGCCA